rnacentral:rRNA from 1 species
CCUACGGGAGGCAGCAGUGGGGAAUUUUGGACAAUGGGGGCAACCCUGAUCCAGCCAUUCCGCGUGAGUGAAGAAGGCCUUCGGGUUGUAAAGCUCUUUCAGCGGGAACGAAACGGUACGCUCUAACAUAGUGUGCUAAUGACGGUACCCGCAGAAGAAGCACCGGCUAACUACGUGCCAGCAGCCGCGGUAAUACGUAGGGUGCGAGCGUUAAUCGGAAUUACUGGGCGUAAAGCGUGCGCAGGCGGAUUGUUAAGCAAGAUGUGAAAUCCCCGGGCUUAACCUGGGAAUGGCAUUUUGAACUGGCAAUCUAGAGUGUGUCAGAGGGGGGUAGAAUUCCACGUGUAGCAGUGAAAUGCGUAGAGAUGUGGAGGAAUACCGAUGGCGAAGGCAGCCCCCUGGGAUAACACUGACGCUCAUGUACGAAAGCGUGGGUAGCAAACAGGAUUAGAUACCCUGGUAGUCCACGCCCUAAACGAUGUCAACUGGUUGUUGGGAGAGUGAAAUCUCUUAGUAACGAAGCUAACGCGUGAAGUUGACCGCCUGGGGAGUACGGUCGCAAGAUUAAAACUCAAAGGAAUUGACGGA